UUCUCACGAUCGCGUUUGGACGCCCACGAGAAAGGGGUACCCCUGGCCUUUCCCCGGGAAAGGCUCCCACGAGUGCAGACGUCGGGGAGGAAACCCUCGCUCGUUCUGUCUCGCACUCGUGAAUGACUGGCGGCGGCGACUGGAAGACCUCCUCCGUCCACCGCUACGAUCUCCUCCGUCCACCGCUCCUGCCUCCUCCGACCGGCGACUGCAACGCCCCCUGCCCUCCUCCCUUCGACGCUCUGCCCCUCCGGAUGGGGCGACGGGACCGGGGUCGCCAUCCUACUACUUCCCGGAUCUCGUCUCCGCCCCCAAGAUCUUCACCUUCCGAUGACGACGACGGCCAGGAGAUCAUGCUCCUCUUCGUCCAAGGUUAUCCCCUCCUCCUCUUCCACCCGCCAUUUUUUCCUUCCCUGCUACACGCACUAACGAGCGUCUGUACAGAUCCAAGAGCCUCCUCUCCUGUUUGAGUUUUGUAUCACAAGAACCAAUACGGAAGAACAUCCAUCGUUUGUAGAUUGUAGUAGUGUUUCUACCUAACUAUCCUGACCUCACAAGUGAGCACAACCACAUCUACCUCCUUGUGAUGCUAAUCUACACACAAUGUUCUAGUAAUAUAUCUGAAGGGGACUACUCAGCCUGUACUAGCCUUGUCCUAAUUUUAACUUAGAAUCUUUAGGAUAACCUGAAGUAUGCUUGUCUUGCUUAUAAUAACGGUGUAGCAUAAACGUACCAGUUAUUGGAAUUCAAUUGCGUUGAUGAAAGUAGCAUUAGUAUCAUGGUAACUGUUCAGUUUAAAAUCACUCUCAUUCAAGUUCUUCCCUUUUGUACCAAGAUAUGGAACCAAAGUUUGAGCAUAUGUAAUCUUGAUAAUUGGCCUUCGGUUUAAACUCUAUGGACCCAAGGGGACAUUCACUCCAUUAUCUCUGUCCAUUUUACACUUUUUGCGUACGCCAUUGAGUUGAUCUAUUGUUUUCUUAACUUCAAGCUUUAUUUGUAAAAAAGUAUGUUAGUGGUAAAGUAAUUAAAAGAUGAAACCAUGUGCUAUUAAGAUUUUGAGUUUUCCCGCGGAUUAUUCAAAGAGAGAACAUCAUCUUAUUAUGUUUAGAUCUGUUUGUUUGCGAAAGAUGCAUAUAAAUAAAAAUAUGUGCUUAUAUAUAUUUUGACUAAUGAAUUGAUAUUAUCUUUUUGUAAAGAAUUUUGAAUUAUGAUGUGAUUGCAGCAAAGCCAAUUGAUAGUAUUAUCAAUGCAGUGCUGUUAAGUCAUCAAUUACUAAUGUACUGUUAGAAAAUGGCCUUUACUGAUUGAAGGAGAAAAUUGCUACCAAGGAGAAAACAUAAGGUAUGUAAUUUUGAAGUACCAAUUUAGAGGUGCAGUUUUGUGUUUUCUUCCAUUGGGCAUUUUACAAUUUGUUCAUGAAUUUGCACAUGCUAACUCAUAAGCAGAGGAAUAUCUUGUGAAACAGAGGGUGUAUACAAAUGAGUUCAUGCUCUUGUCAGUUUUUCGUUGGGGAAUUAUCUUGUGUUUUUGUGUGAAUGCAUCUCUACAGCUUUAGCUCCUUAUGUCCACCAUGUCGGCGCUGGCGGCAUUGAACAUGUCGACGAUGUGGGCAGUGCCAUCCUUGACGAUUCAGUUCAGGAUCCCCCACUUGGCGGCGUCCUUGGCGUUGUAUCUCUCUUUCGGGUUCAGCCCCCAGCCGAUGGAGACGACCAUGAACUUGCCGUAUGUUGGAAUAAACUCAAGUCUGCACCUAGUAUAUUUCUCUGCCAUGGUUUCCUAAAGCUAGCCAAUGAAAAUGUUCAAAGAAUUUGAUCUUGGAAGUUUCAGUAGUGACUAUCCCAGCAGCAACACAUUUUAGCAUGGAUGAUUUACACAGAUACAUGUUGAUAAUGGAACCAAAUGAUUAUUCUUGAUGGAUUUCUACCUUAGUUAGCAUUUCCGCUGUUAAACCAUGAUUAGCACGCUUAAUUUAUUCGCGGUGCCGUUAUUUGUACGACUGAACAUGUAUAACUUAUGGUCAGCGUGUUUGAUGUGGAUUGAAGUGUUUUAUUUUUUUCACUGAU